AAUAUUGGACAAUGGGGGAAACCCUGAUCCAGCCAUGCCGCGUGUGUGAAGAAUGUCUUCGGAUUGUAAUGUACUUUAAGUUGGGAGGAAGGGCUGUAGGUUAAUACCCUGUAGUUUUGACGUACCAACAGAACAAGCACCGGCUAACUGUGUGCCAGCAGCCGCGGUAAUACAGAGGGUGCAAGCGUUAAUCGGAAUUACUGGGCGUAAAGCGCGCGUAGGUGGUUCAGUAAGAUGGGUGUGAAAUCCCCGGGCUUAACCUGGGAACUGCUUUCAUAACUGCUGAGCUAAAGUACGGUAGAGGGUAGUGGAAUUUCCUGUGUAGCGGUGAAAUGCGUAGAUAUAGGAAGGAACACCAGUGGCGAAGGCGACUACCUGGACUGAUACUGACACUGAGGUGCGAAAGCGUGGGGAGCAAAC
rnacentral:rRNA from 1 species